rfam:Botryotinia fuckeliana T4 unplaced genomic scaffold BcT4_9906_V3__V4, whole genome shotgun sequence.
AACACUUCCCAAACACUCUGGCCCUUACCCCCUUUCCCAUCGUGGAUCGGUUCAACCUGUGGUAUAGGCCUAUUUUUGGAGGAAGAAGAUUGAUUUUCGUCCGAUUACUCACCGAGGUAUCUUGAAUCCUUUCGGGGGUUGUGGAUAUUUUGGUCCAUAUCUUUUGGCCGACAU